UCGGGCCUCUCGGGCCCCUUCGUUUUCGGCUUCAUUUCUCUUUUCUUUUCUUUUGGUUUCGAAUUUGAGUGUUGGGCACCAUGGUAGGAACGUCCAGCUCUGUGAGGUUAUUUUUCCUUCCCAUGCCUCGAUUUUCUUAUCUGUAGAAAAGCAGGAGGAGUCGCGGCGCUGCCUCCGGGGUAGCCGCGAGGAUUCACGCCAGAGGGCGGCUGAGCGCCUGGUGCGGGGCCAGGUUAAGGGGGUGCCGCGCACGUUUCCUUUUCCUUUUCCUGUGUUAAUAGGCGGAAGGUGGGCUGGAAAUGCGGGUUAGGGCCUGAGUCUGCGGAGGAGGGAGAUCCCUGAGGGUGUCACGUCCUCACCGCAUUUCCCCCCACCUGCUGCAGGAGCCGGUAGGGGGUGGAUUUGGCGACACUGUCAUGUCUCAGCUCACCCGGGUGUAGGGAUUGGGCCUCUGGGGGAAACUGGAGGCAGGAGGCUCUGGCCUCCUUUUCCUCCUGUGGAUCCUCCCCCAGUGUCCCCCAUGGAGUCUCAUCCUCAGCAUUUUCUCCUGUGCUGGGAGGCAGGGGAUGGUGGGCCUUGGUCGGCAGCCAGAGUUUGAGCAUUGGCGGUCUUCCUUUGGUUGGGAAGGUCAGGGGCGACUGGGUGGGCGUGCACUUGGAUUUAGGGCUCUGUCAGUUGAUAGCACACGAUCUAGUCCUUGCGGGUCUGUUUUCUGUCUGUAUGAAAGGCUUUGUCGCCGCUUUUCCCUGAGGGAUCCUUAUGGGGGUCACGUUAGGCAGCAGCGUGUGUCCGCGCGGCUCGGUGGACCUGCUCCCAUUGUAGGAACACGCGGAGGAGGUGGGGGUAAGCAGGGUUGGUCCCAGCAGUGUGGUGGAAACAGGGAUGCCAUGACACUUGAAUGUCGCUGAUAUCUCCAGUUCCCUGGUUUGGUUGUUUUUGUUUUUUUAUGUUGUCGGACUUCCUGGGUCUGGUGAAAGAGGGUGGCCAGUGCACCUCACAUUAUGGCUCCUGAGGGACAUUUCCCCAGCUUUUCCUGGGGUCCUCAGAAGCCCCCUAGGCCCUCAGCCAGUGUUGGCCGCCCCCCCCUUAGCCCAUGGGGAAGGAAAGACUCCUAGUCAAAGAUCUGGAUCUCAGCAUUGCUGUUCCUGUUUUUAAUGAGAAACCGAGGCCCCGGGGUCAGUCGGGGUGUCCCAGUGAUGGGGGGCAGGGUGCCAGCCCUUGUGCCUUGGCCCCUGAGGGACCUGUGCUUGCAGAUGUGCCGUCGCGAAGCCCCCUUGAUAAAAAAGACGUUUCUGGGAGUGAAAGCCUGCACCCAGGCACCCUUGAUUUGGUCCUGGAGGGUUUGGGGCACCCCCGUGCUUCAUGAUUAAUUCCUCACCUUUCUGGCCCCCAGAACCUCUAAACCCUGCCCAGGGUCUUCGUUCAGGUUUUUUGCCUUUUCUAGCCCCCAGGGGAGGGGGCAGCUGCCCUUGUGCCUGUUGAGGGGUGGGGAAGCCAUGCUUGUGAGUAUGGUGUUGUCCACUGCUGGGGGCUAGCCUGGGGUGGGAUCUGCUGAGGAACCCUGCUGAGCCGGUGUUCCCUGAGGGUCUUUGGGAGGGUGUCCUUUCCCACCUGCCUCUGCCUGACCGCCCUCCUUUCUGUAAAGAGAAUUCCCAUCCUGGCCUGGCCCCAUUUUACAGAUGAGCCACCGGGCACAGCAGGAGUCAGGCAAGUGGAGUGUGGUGCCUCCAUCUUCGCUGUUCCAUUUGGCAGAGAGGGUUGGAGUGGGGAAGCCAGGAGAGGCCACGGGGUCUUUCACAGCCCCCCCCACCCCCGCCAGCUGCAGGGAAGUGUGGAGGUCUGUGCUUUAGUCCUUGCAUCUGGCCUGCAGCCCCUGGCCCAGAAUGAGGUCUCCUGACUCUGGCUUGGGGCAGGGAAAGACUUGGAAGCUGCAGGAGAUGUUGACACGGUUGCCGUGGAUACCGAGGGAGCUGGAGGGAGGUGGGGCGGGGGCGGAGGAGAGGCUGGCAGUCUACUUGCUCUCUCAGCCUCCUCCAUCUCUGGACUGCUCCCCUGUCCCAGAGCCCCCAGCACACAGCACCUUCUGGGGGGCUCAGACCCUCGUCCCACGGGAGCUUAGAUCUGGAUCUGGAGCUGUUAGUCUGGGGCUCCCCCUCUGAGCUGCCGACUUUGAGUCUGGGUCAUUCUCCAUCUGGGGCGUCCUGGCCACUGUGGGGUGCUGGACAGCCUUCCAGGCCCCCACCCACUGGAUGCUGGGUGCACCCCCAGUUGUGACAAGGACAAAUGUCCUCAGACAUCACCCAGUGAUCCCUGGGGGUUGUGGGAUCACCUCCAGUUGAGACCCCCUGUAAAACCUUGUCUGCUUAAGCCUGAGAAGUCGCUGAGGGUUUUCUGUGUGUGCGAGGCACUGUGGGCAUGGCCCAGUGCCCUUUCCAUGGGGCUCCUAGAACACUGGGGGCUGUUGACAGCAGCGGUGAUGGAGGAAAGGGCUUCCAGGAGGAAGAGGUUGGAAGAAGUGGGGAAGGGUGUGUCCUAAGUAAAGGGACACCACCCGGCUGCAGGGGGUGGGGGCAGGGGCCCUGGGUGAGGAUUGGGAGGCUGCUGCUGCGAGGCUGCAGUGGGAGGUGGGGAGGGGGCCAGGGAGGUAAGUGUGAGGUGAGUGUUCCCUUUAAUCCCAAGGGCAGGGUAGGGGUGGGCGGGGAGGCAGGCCUCCCAGCUGAAGAAAAUCCGUUUAUGAGGAAGGGAUUAGGAUGGGAGAGGGGUUUGGAGGAGCUGUGUGGGAGGGAGAGAGGUGUGCUUGUCCAGGAUUGGGUGGGAGGGGGAAGCCCCAGACAUGGGGGACAAGAGACAGUUGCGGUAACCCCCUGUUUGUUGAUUUAGCAGCCCAAGCUGGGGUUGGGGGUGGUAUUUGUUGAGUAGACCCCCAGGAGGAGAAGCAGAUGGGGAAACUGAGGCCAGAGGGGACAUGGUCACCACAUCCCCCCAGGGCUAUCUGAGCAAAGCUUGUGAGCUCUCCAGGACGAGGUGGGGCUCAGGAGUCCCAGUGAUUUACCUGGAGGGGCAGAGAGGGGCAGUGCCAUGCCCAAGGGGUGCAAGUGCCCAGGACUGCCUCCCCACUUCGACCCCUUCUCCAGCAUUGGGGUUUGGUGAGCAGCUGGGAUUGGCCAUAGUGCCUGUGCCUUAGCUGGGGGUGGGGGUGGAGCACCCCCACAUUGUGGGGGGCGAUAACCAGCCCCCACCCAGGCUUCCUGAUAAAGGUGGCCCAGAUGGCCCGGGAGUUGGCACAUGAUACCAGCAUGAAGAGCUGGCCUCCUAGAGAGGGGGGCCCCCGCCCUCACCCAGUCCUGUUUCCAGAACAGCAGGCCUCUGGAACAGCAUGCUCUGGGGGGGGCCUGUGGGAGCGGUGCCCCAGGACUGAGAGGGUCCCCCUCUGUGGCAGAGAUGCCUAUCUCGGUGGGGAAGUAAGUCAGGGUAGCCUGGGUUCUCUGGGAGUGAGGAGAGCUGGUGGCAGGGGGCCCACCUUUUAAAUAAAUGGGGGGUAGUAGCCACAGAUCCUACCUGAGGGACGGGGGUAGACUAGAUCGUGGCUAGCUGGUUAGCCAUUAGCGCCUGCUGGAACCAGUGAGCUGAGCGCCCUUCUCUGGGUCUGUAGACUUUGCAUGGAUAUAUUAAGUACCCCACGGUGUGUCAGGCCUGUGCCCUCAGCUUUACAAUGGGACAUGGGGCAGAUUUCACACUAAGAGACUGGGCACAAGGAUAAGAAAAGCUGAGAUGUGGGAGACAGUGGAGGGGGAGGUACACCAGCAGGAGAGAGAGACUGCACUGAAGGGUGACAUGGAGCAGGAACCUAGUGUGUGACGAGUGACAUGGGGGAGGUUCCAGGUGGCAGGAACCUAGUGUGUGAGGAGCAGCUAGUGGGGCUACAGAGGAGCCCAGGCUAAGGUAAAGAUUUCAGCUUUGACUCUGAGCCAGGGGGCAGAGCACAGACUGGGCAGCCCACAUACCAGCCCACUCACUGGCUACUGCACCAGUCCACGCCUGAGCUGGGGGCUGGAGCUGAGAGGAGCCAGGGUGGGAGCUGGAGGUAAUUUGAUGGGGCGUUGAUGGGAUUUGCUGCCAGGUUCCACAUGGGGAGUUGAGGGCGGGGAGACCUCUGCUUAUGCUUUUGGUGGCAACACAGCUGAGCCAAAGAAAUGGAAAACUUGGGGUUCCUGCUGUGGCAAUGGGAUUGAUGGUGUGUUGGGAGCCCUGGGACGAUCCCCAGCCUGGCACUGUGGGUUAAGAAUGUCGUGUUGCUGCAGCAAAGGCACAGAUCUGAUCCUUGGCCUGGGAGCUCCAUAUGCUGCCAUUGGCCAAAAAAUAAAUAAAUAAAAACUUAAGGGAAAAAAAAAAAA
ensembl:lncRNA